rnacentral:rRNA from 1 species
AUUGAACGCUAGCGGGAUGCUUUACACAUGCAAGUCGAUCGAGUCGCGGACGUGCGUGUAAUAUAUCUGAACGUGCUCAGUAGCGGGGGAUACCUACCCGAACGUGAGGCAAACACCGCUAACUCUUGGCGCGGCGGAUAGCGGAUUAGCUAGUUGGUGGGGGAAAGGCUUACAAAGGAAACGAUCCGCAGUUGGUUUGAGAGGGCGAUCAGCCACACGGGGACUGAGACACGGUCCAGACUCCGACGGAAGGCAGAAGUGGGGAAUUUUGGACAAUGGGGGAAAGCCUGAUCCAGCCAUCCCGCGUGUAUGAGAAGGCCUUCGGGUUGUAAAGUACUUUUGGCAGAGAAGCGGUAUCUGCUGAAUAAGCACCGGCUAAAUACGUGCCAGCAGCCGCGGUAAUAC